rnacentral:rRNA from 1 species
UCCGUAGGCGGGCAAUUAAGUCAGAGGUGAAAUCCCACAGCUCAACUGUGGAACUGCCUUUGAUACUGGUUGUCUUGAGUUAUAGUGAAGUAGAUAGAAUAUGUAGUGUAGCGGUGAAACGCAUAGAUAUUACAUAGAAUACCGAUUGCGAAGGCAGUCUACUAACUGUAUACUGACGCUAAUGGACGAAAGCGUGGGGAGCGAACAGGAUUAGAUACCCUGGUAGUCC